GUAGCGCAUGGUGAGAACUAAAGAAUGGGCUAAGCAUGUAGAUCUUGUAGCGUAGUGCUUACGGACGCGGGUUCGAUUCCCGCCGCCUCCACCA
rnacentral:tRNA from 1 species